CCCCGCACAAGCAGCGAGCGUGUGGUUUAAUUCGAUGCUACACGAAGAACCUUACCAGGGUUUGACAUGCAAGUGGUAGGAAACCGAAAGGCGACCGACCCUUCGGGGAGCUUGCACAGGUGCUGCAUGGCUGUCGUCAGCUCGUGUCGUGAGAUGUUCGGUUAAGUCCGCUAACGAGCGCAACCCUCGCUGUGUGUUACAAGUGUCACACGGUACUGCCGGUCUUAAGCCGGAGGAAGGUGGGAUGACGUCAAGUCAGCAUGGCCUUUAUGUCCUGGGCUACACACACGCUACAAUGGCCAACACAAUGGGUUGCUAAGCCGCGAGGUGGAGCCAAUCCUCAAAGUUGGUCUCAGUUCAGAUUGCAGGCUGCAACCCGCCUGCAUGAAGAUGGAGUUGCUAGUAACCGCAGGUCAGCUAUACUGCGGUGAAUACGUUCCCGGGGCUU
rnacentral:rRNA from 1 species